GCACUCACUUGGGCAGCACAGACACUGAAACUGGAACAAUACAGAGAAGAUUAGCAUGGCCCCUGUGCAAGGAGGACAUGCAAAUUCACAAAGUGUUUUCUAAACAU